rnacentral:rRNA from 1 species
UAUAAUGAGGGUUUGAUCCUGGCCCAGGAUGAACGCUGGCGGCGUGGAUAAGGCAUGCAAGUCGAACGAACCCUUCGGGGUUAGUGGCGAACGAGUUAGUAACGCCUUGGUACUUACCGUAUAGUCAAGAAUAACUAGCCGAAAGGUUGGCUAAUACUUGAUAGUCUCGAAAGAGUAAAGGAGCAAUUCGCUAUACGAUAGGCCUAGGUCCUAUCAGCUAGUUGGUGAGGUAAUAGCUCACCAAGGCUACGACGGGUAGGGGGAGUGAGAGCUUGACCCCCAACGACGGCACUGAGACACGGGCCGUACACCUACGGGUGGCAGCAGUCGAGAAUAUUCCACAAUGGACGAAAGUCUGAUGGAGCGACGCCGCGUGCAGGAAGAAGGCCUUCGGGUUGUAAACUGCUUUUCUAGGAGAAAAAGUCUGGCCAAUUGUGCUCGCUAACUUCGGUUAGUGGGUGCAAUUGGCUAGAUUGAUGGUACCUUAGGAAUAAGGGGUUGCUAACUUCGUGCCAGCAGCAGCGGUAAUACGAAGACCCCGAGCGUUAUCCGGAUUUAUUGGGCGUAAAGAGAGAGCAGGAGGUUUGGUGCGUCUGUUGUUAAAUCCCACCGCUCAACGGUGGAACUGCAAUGGAUACGAUCAAACUAGAGGAUACUAGAGGUUACUGGAACACACGGUGUAGGGGUGAAAUCCGUUGAUAUCGUGUGGAACACCAAAGGCGAAGGCAUGUAACUGGAGUAUUCCUGACUCUGAGUCUCGAAAGCGUGGGGAGCAAAAAGGAUUAGAUACCCUUGUAGUCCACGCCGUAAANNGGGGACUCGCACAAGCGGUGGAUCAUGUGGUUUAAUUCGAUGGUACACGAGGAACCUUACCAGGGCUUGUACCCUAUUGAAGUCAGAUGGAAACGUUUGAUGCCUGAGAUUUAUCUUUGGCAAUAGGGCAGGUGCUGCACGGUCGUCGUCAGCUCGUGGCGUGAGCUGUUCCCUUAAGUGGGGUAACGAGCGCAACCCUCGUCCUGUGUUACAAGUGUCACAGGAGACUGUCCGCUUUAAGCGGAAGGAAGGUGGGGAUGACGUCAGAUCAGCGUGGCCCUUUGAUGCCCUGGGCUACACACAUGAUACAAUGGUCAAGACAAAGGGUUGCCAAGCCGUAAGGCGGAGCUAAUCUCAAAAACUUGGCCUCAGUUCGGAUUGAGGGCUGAAACUCGCCCUCAUGAAGUUGGAAUCGCUAGUAAUCGUGAAUCAGCCAUGUCACGGUGAAUACGUUCUCGAGUCCUGUACUCACCGCCCGUCACACCAAGGGAGCUGGUAGCGGAUAGAGUCUCACCUAGCGUGGGAUGAGUUCGAGAUCAGUGACAGGGGUGAAGUCGUAACAAGGCACGCGUAGCGGAAGCUGUG